rnacentral:rRNA from 1 species
UACAGAGGUGGCAAGCGUUGUUCGGAAUUACUGGGCGUAAAGGGCGCGUAGGCGGCCAUCUAAGUCAGACGUGAAAUCCCCCGGCUUAACCUGGGAACUGCGUCUGAUACUGGACGGCUCGAGUUUGGGAGAGGGAUGCAGAAUUCCAGGUGUAGCGGUGAAAUGCGUAGAUAUCUGGAGGAAUACCGGUGGCGAAGGCGGCAUCCUGGACUAAUACUGACGCUGAGGCGCGAAAGCUAGGGGAGCAAACGGGG